UACGUAGGGUGCGAGCGUUGUCCGGAUUUAUUGGGCGUAAAGAGCGUGUAGGCGGUUUGGUAGGUCCGCUGUGAAAACUCGAGGCUCAACCUCGAGACGCCGGUGGAAACCAUCAGACUAGAGUCCGGAAGAGGAGAGUGGAAUUCCUGGAUGUAGCGGUGAAAUGCGCAGAUAUCAGGAAGAACACCCGUGGCUAAGGCGGCUCUCUAGUACGGUACUGACGCUGAGACGCGAAAGCGUGGGGGAGCGAACAGG
rnacentral:rRNA from 1 species